rnacentral:rRNA from 1 species
UUAAGCGACUAAGCGUACACGGUGGAUGCCCUGGCAGUCAGAGGCGAUGAAGGACGUGCUAAUCUGCGAAAAGCGUCGGUAAGGUGAUAUGAACCGUUAUAACCGGCGAUGUCCGAAUGGGGAAACCCAGUGCAAUUCGUUGCACUAUCGUUAACUGAAUACAUAGGUUAACGAGGCGAACCGGGGGAACUGAAACAUCUAAGUACCCCGAGGAAAAGAAAUCAACCGAGAUUCCCCCAGUAGCGGCGAGCGAACGGGGAGCAGCCCAGAGUCUGAAUCAGCUUGUGUGUUAGUGGAACGGUCUGGAAAGUCCGACGGUACAGGGUGAUAGUCCCGUACACCAAAAUGCACAGGCUGUGAACUCGAAGAGUAGGGCGGGACACGUGGUAUCCUGUCUGAAUAUGGGGGGACCAUCCUCCAAGGCUAAAUACUCCUGACUGACCGAUAGUGAACCAGUACCGUGAGGGAAAGGCGAAAAGAACCCCGGCGAGGGGAGUGAAAAAGAACCUGAAACCGUGUACGUACAAGCAGUGGGAGCACCUUCGGGUGUGACUGCGUACCUUUUGUAUAAUGGGUCAGCGACUUAUAUUCUGUAGCAAGGUUAACCGUAUAGGGGAGCCGCAGGGAAACCGAGUCUUAACUGGGCGUUAAGUUGCAGGGUAUAGACCCGAAACCCGGUGAUCUAGCCAUGGGCAGGUUGAAGGUUGGGUAACACUAACUGGAGGACCGAACCGACUAAUGUUGAAAAAUUAGCGGAUGACUUGUGGCUGGGGGUGAAAGGCCAAUCAAACCGGGAGAUAGCUGGUUCUCCCCGAAAGCUAUUUAGGUAGCGCCUCGUGAACUCAUCUUCGGGGGUAGAGCACUGUUUCGGCUAGGGGGUCAUCCCGACUUACCAACCCGAUGCAAACUACGAAUACCGAAGAAUGUUAUCACGGGAGACACACGGCGGGUGCUAACGUCCGUCGUGAAGAGGGAAACAACCCAGACCGCCAGCUAAGGUCCCAAAGUCAUGGUUAAGUGGGAAACGAUGUGGGAAGGCACAGACAGCCAGGAUGUUGGCUUAGAAGCAGCCAUCAUUUAAAGAAAGCGUAAUAGCUCACUGGUCGAGUCGGCCUGCGCGGAAGAUGUAACGGGGCUAAACCAUGCACCGAAGCUGCGGCAGCGACACUAUGUGUUGUUGGGUAGGGGAGCGUUCUGUAAGCCUGCGAAGGUGUGCUGUGAGGCAUGCUGGAGGUAUCAGAAGUGCGAAUGCUGACAUAAGUAACGAUAAAGCGGGUGAAAAGCCCGCUCGCCGGAAGACCAAGGGUUCCUGUCCAACGUUAAUCGGGGCAGGGUGAGUCGACCCCUAAGGCGAGGCCGAAAGGCGUAGUCGAUGGGAAACAGGUUAAUAUUCCUGUACUUGGUGUUACUGCGAAGGGGGGACGGAGAAGGCUAUGUUAGCCGGGCGACGGUUGUCCCGGUUUAAGCAUGUAGGCUGGUUGUCCAGGCAAAUCCGGAUAAUCAAGGCUGAGGUGUGAUGACGAGGCACUACGGUGCUGAAGUAACAAAUGCCCUGCUUCCAGGAAAAGCCUCUAAGCAUCAGGUAACAUCAAAUCGUACCCCAAACCGACACAGGUGGUCAGGUAGAGAAUACCAAGGCGCUUGAGAGAACUCGGGUGAAGGAACUAGGCAAAAUGGUGCCGUAACUUCGGGAGAAGGCACGCUGGUGUGUAGGUGAAGUCCCUGCGGAUGGAGCUGAGACCAGUCGAAGAUACCAGCUGGCUGCAACUGUUUAUUAAAAACACAGCACUGUGCAAACACGAAAGUGGACGUAUACGGUGUGACGCCUGCCCGGUGCCGGAAGGUUAAUUGAUGGGGUUAUCCGUAAGGAGAAGCUCUUGAUCGAAGCCCCGGUAAACGGCGGCCGUAACUAUAACGGUCCUAAGGUAGCGAAAUUCCUUGUCGGGUAAGUUCCGACCUGCACGAAUGGCGUAAUGAUGGCCAGGCUGUCUCCACCCGAGACUCAGUGAAAUUGAACUCGCUGUGAAGAUGCAGUGUACCCGCGGCAAGACGGAAAGACCCCGUGAACCUUUACUAUAGCUUGACACUGAACAUUGAGCCUUGAUGUGUAGGAUAGGUGGGAGGCUUUGAAGCGUGGACGCCAGUCUGCGUGGAGCCAACCUUGAAAUACCACCCUUUAAUGUUUGAUGUUCUAACGUUGGCCCCUUAUCGGGGUUGCGGACAGUGUCUGGUGGGUAGUUUGACUGGGGCGGUCUCCUCCCAAAGCGUAACGGAGGAGCACGAAGGUUAGCUAAUCCUGGUCGGACAUCAGGAGGUUAGUGCAAUGGCAUAAGCUAGCUUGACUGCGAGCGUGACGGCGCGAGCAGGUGCGAAAGCAGGUCAUAGUGAUCCGGUGGUUCUGAAUGGAAGGGCCAUCGCUCAACGGAUAAAAGGUACUCCGGGGAUAACAGGCUGAUACCGCCCAAGAGUUCAUAUCGACGGCGGUGUUUGGCACCUCGAUGUCGGCUCAUCACAUCCUGGGGCUGAAGUAGGUCCCAAGGGUAUGGCUGUUCGCCAUUUAAAGUGGUACGCGAGCUGGGUUUAGAACGUCGUGAGACAGUUCGGUCCCUAUCUGCCGUGGGCGCUGGAGAAUUGAGGGGGGCUGCUCCUAGUACGAGAGGACCGGAGUGGACGCAUCACUGGUGUUCGGGUUGUCAUGCCAAUGGCACUGCCCGGUAGCUAAAUGCGGAAGAGAUAAGUGCUGAAAGCAUCUAAGCACGAAACUUGCCCCGAGAUGAGUUCUCCCUGAGACUAUAAGUCUCCUGAAGGAACGUUGAAGACGACGACGUUGAUAGGCCGGGUGUGUAAGCGCAGCGAUGCGUUGAGCUAACCGGUACUAAUGAACCGUGAGGCUUAACCUU